GACGGAAGCAGGCGCUGCUGCUUAGUCUUUGCUGCCGCUGGAAGUGUAAGAUAGGCUGCGGGCGGAGAUCCGGGUAUUGGCUGAGAAUGCUGCGAGCGCUGAUGCUGCUGGUGGCGGGAGCCUUAUUGGGGUCGCUGUGCUGCCGAGCUGUGGAGGUGAAGAGGCCCCGAGGGGUCUCCCUGUCCAAUCGCAGUUUCUAUGAUGAGGCCAAGCCUUUCACCUGUCUGGAUGGGUCCCAGACGAUCCCCUAUGACCGUGUAAACGAUGACUACUGUGAUUGUGCCGAUGGAACAGAUGAACCUGGCACAGCUGCGUGCUCAAAUGGAAGAUUCCACUGCACCAACGCCGGAUACAAGCCUCAGUACAUCCCAGCAUCACGGGUCAACGAUGGCAUUUGUGAUUGCUGCGACACCACUGACGAGUAUAACAGCGGCGCGCAGUGUCAGAAUACUUGCAGGGAGAUGGGUAGGAAGGAGCGGGAGGAGCUGGAGAAGAAGGCCGCCAUGGCUCGGGAAGGGAUGCUGCUGAAGCACCAGUUUAUUGAAGAAGCCAAAAAAGGCAGAGAAGAAAAGCAGGCGAAGCUGCAGGAGCUGGUGGAGAAGCGGCAGAACGUGCAGUCCCAGGUGGACCUGCUGCGGGCAGAGAAGGAGGAGGCAGAGAAGCCGGAGCGAGAAGCAAAGGACGCGCACAAGAAAGAGUGGGAAGAACGGAGGGAAGCGGAGAAAGUGGCUUCUGAGAGGAAACGAUCCCUGGAAGCUUUUGGGGAGCUGGACCUGGAUUCUGAUGGAAUGCUGUCCUCCACAGAGCUGUUCUCUCACCCUGAGCUGGAUACGGACGGAGAUGGGUUGUUGUCGGACCAAGAAGCCCAGACUCUGCUUGGUGGAUCAAGUGCUGUAGACAGUGCCUACUUCCAGGAGUCUGUCUGGCCCCAGAUCAGCGCUAAAUACAAAUCUGAGAGCGAGGCCCCAUCACUGCCUCAGGUAGAAGAGGAGACGGACUCCCACCCAGAGAGCCCCCCUGAGGACGAUGAGGGUGACGAUGGAGAGGAGGGAGACGAGGACGAUGAGGAGGAGUCUGAUGAAGAUCAUAGGGCUCCACCUGCCAAGCCGCAGACGGAGGAGCCAGAAAUGCCGCCGUACGAUGAAGCCACCCAAAUGCUGAUAGAUACCGCUCAAGCAGCACGAAACCAGUACGAAGAAGCCGAAAAGUCCUUACGGGAAAUCGAGGAUACAGUCAGGAGUCUGGAGAAAGAGAUAUCGCUGGAUUUUGGGACACAUGGAGAAUUCUCCUAUCUCUAUGGGCAGUGUUAUGAGCUUUCCACCAGCGAGUACAUUUAUCGCUUGUGUCCAUUCAAUCGUGUGACUCAGAAACCGAAAGUUGGAGGAUCAGAAACUAACCUGGGGUUAUGGGCGUCCUGGGCCGGACCAGAACAUGACAAAUUUAGUGUAAUGAAGUAUGACCAGGGAACUACCUGUUGGCAGGGACCAAACCGCUCCACACAGGUGAAGCUGUUCUGUGGGAAAGAGACGGUCGUCACCUCUACAUCAGAGCCCAGUCGCUGCGAGUACCUUAUGGAGUUCUUUACCCCAGCCGCCUGUCAGCAGCCCAGUGACAUCCCGCAGGAGGAGCAUGACGAGCUGUGACCUCAGGUGCUGUACUACUUCUUCAGUUCCGUGCUAGUAAUCGCAGAUAAAGCUGUGCUUACAGAACCCCAAGGGAACAAGAAAAGCUGUGACCAUUGGAUGAAUCCCAGUCAGCCAGUGGCCUCCUUCCUCCAAACCUCAUUCCACCCCCGUCAUCUCGGUUCCUGAUUCCUGCAGUAAAGGGCAGCGGUGACCAGGAGACACAUUCCAGCAUCUGCACCAAGCUCUACGCCUCCGCCGUCGUGUCCUAUGUACAGAGGCAUUUCAGUGAAUACACUGUCCCCAGUGGCUGCUACGUUCUUGUUAGUGGAGUAAAUUAAGAUUGUCCUGUGUUCAGUGCAAUUAAAGACCACUAAACCAA